rnacentral:rRNA from 1 species
GUGAACGCUGGCGGUAGGCCUAACCCAUGCAAGUCGAACGGCAGCACAGUAAGAGCUUGCUCUUACGGGUGGCGAGUGGCGGACGGGUGAGGAAUACAUCGGAAUCUACUUUUUCGUGGGGGAUAACGUAGGGAAACUUACGCUAAUACCGCAUACGACCUACGGGUGAAAGCAGGGGAUCUUCGGACCUUGCGCGAUUGAAUGAGCCGAUGUCGGAUUAGCUAGUUGGCGGGGUAAAGGCCCACCAAGGCGACGAUCCGUAGCUGGUCUGAGAGGAUGAUCAGCCACACUGGAACUGAGACACGGGCCAGACUCCUACGGGAGGCAGCAGUGGGGAAUAUUGGACAAUGGGCGCAAGCCUGAUCCAGCCAUACCGCGUGGGUGAAGAAGGCCUUCGGGUUGUAAAGCCCUUUUGUUGGGAAAGAAAAGCAGCAGGUUAAUACCCCGCUGUUCUGACGGUACCCAAAGAAUAAGCACCGGCUAACUUCGU